ACCUGGGUGGCUCAAUCGGUUGAGCCUCUGACUUCGGCUCAGGUCAUGAUCUCGCAGUUGGUGGGUUCAAACCCUGCAUCAGGCU
rnacentral:tRNA from 1 species